CCUGCCUGCUCAGCCUGCUUCUGCUGCUGUUCAAGGCAGCCCAUCACCACUUGCGCAGGUGGAAGUUGCUCACAGUCCUCUAGCACUUCCUAUCUCACCCUCCCACUGGCUCCUUGGACACAACUGGAAGAUAGAAAGGUCAGUGGACUAGUUCAGGCCUGCUCUAAGAAGGAGCCAGAGAGGAAAGGCUGGACAUGAAGUGCCCGGUCCAAGGAUUAAGGAAGGAGAAUGAAUGAGAUGGGAAAGUCCUGGACAGGCUGUACGGCAGUUCUUCUGGCAUCAGGUGGGACAGGAGGGCUCAUGCUGGCCAUGCUCAGAGAGCAGAGCACAAGGGGCACUAACUACCAUUAUGACACUCAGUCCUGUGGGAGCAAAGGAGGAGCUGCACCACAUGAGAGCAAGUGUCAUGUCUGAGUCCCAGAGGUGGAGCAGGAUAAGAAGCCCCCAGUGAAGAACCUUGCUCCUGUUACACUGUACAUGUGCCUGAUUGUCCUGGAAGAGAGCACAAGAACCCAUAAUGUCUGAAUACUUUGGUGCCCAACAUCCCCCUGACCUCUUCAGGGAUCCCAAAAGUGAGUCCCAAUGGCAGAGCAUGUUGACCUGGAUCUACCUUCAACUAACCAACCUUCAGCAUUUAAUUGAAUAAGUGAGCAUUCAACCUGCCAAGGUGAAUCAUAAACAUCACAUUCAACCCUUGGCAAGU